rnacentral:ncRNA from 2 species
CAUCGCUUCAGGGCGGGGUGUAAUUCCCCACCGGUGGUAUUUUAAAUACUCUCUAUUCAAGAUGAUGAUUUAAUCAGCCCACGAGCCGAUCAGCAUGUGCUGAUCAGCAGAUUUGGUAAAAAGCCAAAGCCGACGGUAUAGUCCGGAUGAAAGAAGACGAGA